rnacentral:pre_miRNA from 1 species
AAAUGAGUGUGAAUUGCGGUUGUGGAUGUGUGUGCCUGCUGCUGCUGCUCAGAAAGAGUCUGUUGAACUCUUUCUGAGCAGCAUCAGCAGGCACACACAUCCACAACUGCAAUUCAC